rnacentral:lncRNA from 1 species
CGGCCGCAGGUCCAGGCGCCAUGGCUGCGGAGCGGACCCGGCCGCUGCGACGCUCUGGCGGCCCGAGCGCGCCUAGUCGGUGUGAGCCCGGCGCGAGGUCCCGGGCCCCGGGGCGCUCGCUCAGGUCAGUGCCGCGCGGAACACGGCUCCGGGAGCAGGGGACCAAGGGAGUCACGAACGAGCUGAGCGACUCGGAGAUAAUUUUAGAGACAGGAAAAUUAGAGCUAAGAGUUCCUGCCUUCAGGUGCCUAGCAGCGAAACGAGUUAACAUUGACGCCCCGAGGCUACCUCUUUAAAGACGAUUCAUUGUAGACAGGUGGUUUAUAAAAUGCAGAACGUUGUAGUGUGUGUAGGAAGGCACCAUGCUUGUGGGUAUGCCUUGAAAACAGGUGUGUAUUUGAGAUGAUGCUUUUUUUAAACAGGGGAGAAAUGACAGUAUUAGUUGUACAUUAUAACAGUAACUGGCUUAUAGUGUGCCAAGAUACUGUGCAGAACUCUUUGUUCUGUUUAAUCCUCACGAACUCUAGUAGGUAAAACAGUACCAGGCUACAGUUUACAAGUGAGGAAAUUCGGCUUGAAACACAUGAAAUGAUUUGUCUAUAGUUACCCAACAAGUGAAAUUUCAGAGCCCAUGUUUUAUAAACAUUAUUUGUAUUCUUUCAAAGUUUUAAAAAUUAGUCUCCAAACUAACGGCUUU